AACGAACGCUGGCGGCAGGCCUAACACAUGCAAGUCGAACGCUCGUAGCAAUACGGGAGUGGCAGACGGGUGAGUAACACGUGGGAACCUUCCCUAUGGUUCGGAAUAGCUCAGGGAAACUUGGGGUAAUACCGGAUAAGCCCUUCGGGGGAAAGAUUUAUCGCCAUUGGAUGGGCCCGCGUCGGAUUAGCUAGUUGGUGAGGUAACGGCUCACCAAGGCAACGAUCCGUAGCUGGUCUGAGAGGAUGAUCAGCCACACUGGGACUGAGACACGGCCCAGACUCCUACGGGGGGCAGCAGUGGGGAAUUUUUCGCAAUGGGCGAAAGCCUGACGAAGCAACGCCGCGUGGAGGAUGAAGGCC
rnacentral:rRNA from 1 species